UUUUAAUGAUGAGUCGAACUAGCUCACUUUGACUUAAUGUGAAAAUAGUCGAACAACUGAGAAAC
rnacentral:snoRNA from 1 species